rnacentral:lncRNA from 1 species
GGGGUCUUGCUCCGCCAUGGUCCCGUCGAAGAGGGUCACGCCAUGGAGGUCCUGGAACGGCGACGCCGCCACGUCCUUCUUGAACCAGUCGGAGAGCCCCAUGGCAGCCUCAAGGCAGUGCCUCGAGGUUGCGGCGAGCACAAGGGAGGUUUGGCUCGGGUGGCCAUCUACGGCGACGCCGUCAAGGAGAAGCCAGGAGAGCGGGGUCAGGCGGUAGGUGGCGACCACGUCGGCGGCGGCGCUGUCGGCGGCGAAGACGCCGGACGUCGCCAGCAGCCGCAUGAUGCGGCGGAGGUAAGGCAGCUUGGCGGGUGGAAGGGACAGCGCGGCGACCAGGUCGGGCAGCGACGCUGCGCCACCCAGGCUGUGGAUGGUGGUCGGGAUGCCGAGCUUGACGGCGCACUGGAAUGCCAUGGAGGUCAUGUAGUAGAGACUGUGGCGCC